CCUACGGCAGGCAGCAGUGGGGAAUAUUGGGCAAUGGGCGCAAGCCUGACCCAGCAACGCCGCGUGAAGGAAGAAGGCUCUCGGGUUGUAAACUUCUUUUUUCAGGGACGAAGCAAGUGAUGGUACCUGAGGAAUAAGCCACGGCUAACUACGUGCCAGCAGCCGCGGUAAUACGUAGGUGGCAAGCGUUAUCCGGAUUUACUGGGUGUAAAGGGCGUGUAGGCGGGAAAGCAAGUCAGAUGUGAAAACCAUGGGCUCAACCUGUGGCCUGCAUUUGAAACUGUUUUUCUUGAGUACUGGAGCGGCAGACGGAAUGCCUAGUGUAGCGGUGAAAUGCGUAGAGAUUAGAAGGAACACCAGUGGCGAAGGCAGUCUGCUAGACAACAACUGACGCUGAGGCACGAAAGCGUGGGGAGCAAACAGGAUUAGAUACCCUAGUAGUC
rnacentral:rRNA from 1 species